UACGUAGGGUGCGAGCGUUUGUCCGGAAUUAUUGGGCGUAAAGGGCUCGUAGGCGGUUUGUCGCGUCGGGAGUGAAAUCCACUGGCUUAACUGGUGGCUUGCUUUCGAUACGGGCAGACUGGAGGUAUGCAGGGGGAGAACGGAAUUCCUGGUGUAGCGGUGAAAUGCGCAGAUAUCAGGAGGAACACCGGUGGCGAAGGCAGGUCACUGGGCCGCAACUGACGCUGAGGAGCGAAAGCAUGGGGAGCGAACAGG
rnacentral:rRNA from 1 species